AUUGAACGCUGGCGGCAUGCCUUACACAUGCAAGUCGAACGGUAACAGGUUAAGCUGACGAGUGGCGAACGGGUGAGUAAUGUAUCGGAACGUGCCCAGUCGUGGGGGAUAACUGCUCGAAAGAGCAGCUAAUACCGCAUACGACCUGAGGGUGAAAGCGGGGGACCGUAAGGCCACGCACUAUUGGAGUGGCCGAUGUCAGAUUAGCUAGUUGGUGGGGUAAAAGCCUACCAAGGCGACGAUCUGUAGCUGGUCUGAGAGGACGAUCAGCCACACUGGAACUGAGACACGGUCCAGACUCCUACGGGAGGCAGCAGUGGGGAAUUUUGGACAAUGGGCGCAAGCCUGAUCCAGCCAUGCCGCGUGAGUGAAGAAGGCCUUCGGGUUGUAAAGCUCUUUCGGUGAAGACGAAACGGUUAGUGUUAAUAACACCGACUAAUGACGGUACUCACAGAAGAAGCACCGGCUAACUACGUGCCAGCAGCCGCCGUAACAC
rnacentral:rRNA from 1 species